UACGUAGGGAGCAAGCGUUAUCCGGAUUUAUUGGGUUUAAAGGGUGCGUAGGCGGCUUUUUAAGUCAGCGGUGAAAUUUUGCAGCUUAACUGUAACAGUGCCGUUGAUACUGGGGAGCUAGGAUUUGGUUGCUGUGGGUGGAAUGUGUGGUGUAGCGGUGAAAUGCUUAGAGAUCACACAGAAUAUCGAUUGCAAAGGCAGCUCACAAAGCCAAGAUUGACGCUGAGGCACGAAAGUGUGGGGAUCAAACAGGAUUAGA
rnacentral:rRNA from 1 species